GUAGGUGGCAAGCGUUGUCCGGAAUUAUUGGGCGUAAAGCGCGCGCAGGCGGUCCUUUAAGUCUGAUGUGAAAGCCCACGGGCUCAACCGUGGAGGGUCAUUGGAAACUGGGGGACUUGAGUACAGAAGAGGAAAGCGGAAUUCCAAGUGUAGCGGUGAAAUGCGUAGAGAUUUGGAGGAACACCAGUGGCGAAGGCGGCUUUCUGGUCUGUAACUGACGCUGAGGCGCGAAAGCGUGGUGAGCAAACAGGAUUAGAUACCCUGGUAGUCCACGCCGUAAACGAUGAGUGCUAAGUGUUAGGGGGUUUCCGCCCCUUAGUGCUGCAGCUAACGCAUUAAGCACUCCGCCUGGGGAGUACGGCCGCAAAGGCUG
rnacentral:rRNA from 1 species